rnacentral:tRNA from 1 species
GGAGAGAUGGCUCAGUGGUUAAAAGCACUGGCUGAUCUUCCAUAGGAGCUGGGUUCAAUUCCCAGCAUCUCCA